rnacentral:rRNA from 1 species
AAACAGCUUGCUGUUUCGCUGACGAGUGGCGGACGGGUGAGUAAUGUCUGGGAAACUGCCCGAUGGAGGGGGAUAACUACUGGAAACGGUAGCUAAUACCGCAUAACGUCGCAAGACCAAAGAGGGGGACCUUCGGGCCUCUUGCCAUCGGAUGUGCCCAGAUGGGAUUAGCUAGUAGGUGGGGUAACGGCUCACCUAGGCGACGAUCCCUAGCUGGUCUGAGAGGAUGACCAGCCACACUGGAACUGAGACACGGUCCAGACUCCUACGGGAGGCAGCAGUGGGGAAUAUUGCACAAUGGGCGCAAGCCUGAUGCAGCCAUGCCGCGUGUAUGAAGAAGGCCUUCGGGUUGUAAAGUACUUUCAGCGGGGAGGAAGGGAGUAAAGUUAAUACCUUUGCUCAUUGACGUUACCCGCAGAAGAAGCACCGGCUAACUCCGUGCCAGCAGCCGCGGUAAUACGGAGGGUGCAAGCGUUAAUCGGAAUUACUGGG